rnacentral:snoRNA from 1 species
CACGAGGACACAGCAGAAGGCCCCGCUCCCCAGGCUCUGUCCAGGUGGCGCAGGGGAGCACAGGGCGCUGCCCAGCGACCAACAGUCCAUUCCACACGUGCUAUGAGGCCGGGCCCAAGCCUGUACCUGCACACCCCACAGCUUCUCAGAGUCCCACAGACAACGAGGGACAGCCCAAGCAGAG